rnacentral:tRNA from 1 species
GGGGAUUUAGCUUAGUGGUAGAGCGCUUGCCUAGCAAACGCAAGGCCCUGGGUUCGGUCCCCAGCUCCA